UACGUAGGCAGCGAGCGUUGUUCGGAAUUACUGGGCGUAAAGAGCGUGUAGGCGGCUUGUUAAGUCUUGCGUGAAAUCUCGGGGCUCAACCCCGAGCGGUCGUGAGAAACUGGCAGGCUAGAGUGCGGGAGAGGAGAGUGGAAUUCCUGGUGUAGCGGUGAAAUGCGCAGAUAUCAGGAAGAACACCCGUGGCGAAGGCGGCUCUCUGGAACGCAACUGACGCUGAGACGCGAAAGCGUGGGGAGCAAACAGG
rnacentral:rRNA from 1 species